rnacentral:rRNA from 1 species
GAUGAACGCUAGCGGCAGGCCUAAUACAUGCAAGUCGAACGGGAUCCAGAUCAAAGCUUGCUUUGGUUUGGUGAGAGUGGCGUACGGGUGCGUAACGCGUGAGCAACCUACCCUUGUCAGGGGGAUAGCCCGGCGAAAGUCGGAUUAAUACCGCAUGACAUCAUUGAGAGGCAUCUUUCGAUGAUCAAAGAUUUAUCGGACAAGGAUGGGCUCGCGUGACAUUAGCUAGUUGGUAAGGUAACGGCUUACCAAGGCUACGAUGUCUAGGGGCUCUGAGAGGAGAAUCCCCCACACUGGUACUGAGACACGGACCAGACUCCUACAGGAGGCAGCAGUAAGGAAUAUUGGUCAAUGGACGGAAGUCUGAACCAGCCAUGCCGCGUGCAGGAAGACGGCCCUAUGGGUUGUAAACUGCUUUUAUACGGGAACAAACGUCGGUACGUGUACCGGUCUGAGUGUACCGUAAGAAUAAGGAUCGGCUAAUUCCGUG